GGCGGACGGGUGAGUAACACGUGGGUAACCUGCCUGUAAGACUGGGAUAACUCCGGGAAACCGGGGCUAAUACCGGAUGGUUGUUUGAACCGCAUGGUUCAAACAUAAAAGGUGGCUUCGGCUACCACUUACAGAUGGACCCGCGGCGCAUUAGCUAGUUGGUGAGGUAACGGCUCACCAAGGCAACGAUGCGUAGCCGACCUGAGAGGGUGAUCGGCCACACUGGGACUGAGACACGGCCCAGACUCCUACGGGAGGCAGCAGUAGGGAAUCUUCCGCAAUGGACGAAAGUCUGACGGAGCAACGCCGCGUGAGUGAUGAAGGUUUUCGGAUCGUAAAGCUCUGUUGUUAGGGAAGAACAAGUACCGUUCGAAUAGGGCGGUACCUUGACGGUACCUAACCAGAAAGCCACGGCUAACUACGUGCCAGCAGCCGCGGUAAUACGUAGGUGGCAAGCGUUGUCCGGAAUUAUUGGGCGUAAAGGGCUCGCAGGCGGUUUCUUAAGUCUGAUGUGAAAGCCCCCGGCUCAACCGGGGAGGGUCAUUGGAAACUGGGGAACUUGAGUGCGGAAGAGGAGAGUGGAAUUCCACGUGUAGCGGUGAAAGUGCGUAGAGAUGUGGAGGAACACCAGUGGCGAAAGCGACUCUCUGGUCUGUAACUGACGCUGAGGAGCGAAAGCGUGGGGAGCGAACAUGAUUAGAUACCCUGG
rnacentral:rRNA from 1 species